rnacentral:rRNA from 1 species
CGGCGGACGGGUGAGUAACGCGUGGGUAACCUGCCUCAUACAGGGGAUAACAGUUGGAAACGGCUGCUAAUACCGCAUAAGCGCACAGUACCGCAUGGUACGGUGUGAAAAACUCCGGUGGUAUGAGAUGGACCCGCGUCUGAUUAGGUAGUUGGUGGGGUAACGGCCUACCAAGCCGACGAUCAGUAGCCGACCUGAGAGGGUGACCGGCCACAUUGGGACUGAGACACGGCCCAA